rnacentral:rRNA from 1 species
UACGUAGGGCGCAAGCGUUGUCCGGAAUUAUUGGGCGUAAAGAGCUCGUAGGCGGUCUGUUACGUCGGAAGUGAAAACCCGGGGCUUAACCCCGGGCUUGCUUUCGAUACGGGCAGACUAGAGUGUGGUAGGGGAGACUGGAAUUCCUGGUGUAGCGGUGAAAUGCGCAGAUAUCGGGAAGAACACCCGUGGCGAAGGCGGCUCUCUGGGACGGUACUGACGCUGAGACGCGAAAGCGUGGGGAGCGAACAGG